GGUGUUUAAUGCAGGUCUACAGUAACCUAUAGGUGGUGUUUAAUGCAGGCCUAUAGGUGGUGUUUAAUGCAGGUCUACAGUAACCUAUAGGUGGUGUUUAAUGCAGGUCUACAGUAACCUAUAGGUGGUGUUUAAUGCAGGUCUACAGUAACCUAUAGGUGGUGUUUAAUGCAGGUCUACAGUAACCUAUAGGUGGUGUUUAAUGCAGGCCUACAGUAACCUAUAGGUGGUGUUUAAUGCAGGC